rnacentral:lncRNA from 1 species
GCCAAACCACAAUAAAGGUGGGACCAGCCGACGAGACCAUAAAUCAUUUCCCUUAGCAGGAAAAAUAUCAGCAAGGAAGAAGGUAAAGUGCUGCAUCAAGAAAAGUAGGAAUUCAGAAAAAGAAGAGACACCUGAGAAUUGCAAUGAAGAAAGCAGAGCUGGUGUUUGUCUCGGUAGCAGGCCGCGGUCACCUUGUAUCAACUGUAGAAUUCGCAAAACGCUUAAUCCAAAGGGAUGAUCGCUUUUCGGUCACCAUCCUCUCCAUCAACUCCCCAUUCGGCCCCGACGCGCAUGGAUACAACAAAUCACACCUUGCUUUUGAACCCGGUCUCAGUUUGAUCGAUCUCCCUCCACAGGAUCCCCCUCCACCUUACCUUAAAAAAUCCAUUGCACAAUUCCUGUCAGUUUACAUCGAGAGUUACAUUCCUCAUGUGAAAGACGCCAUCAUCAACCUCAAAUCAACUCGGCCUCUCGCUGGGGUAGUCCUUGAUUUUAUAUGCAUCUCAAUGAUUGAUGUGGCCAACGAACUGGGUCUUCCCUCAUAUCUGUUUCUAACCUCUGGUGCUGCUCUUGUUAGCCUCAUGCUCUACCUUCCCACCCGCCAUACACAAAUCAGCGCUGCCUUUGAGGACGCGGAUCCUGAGUUGGUGAUUCCAGGUUUCAUAAACCCAGUUCCGGUUAGCGUUUUGCCUGAAGCACUGAGGGACAAGCAUGGUGGUUAUGCCGCUUUUAUAAAGGUUGCUCAGAGGUUUAGAGAGGCUAAGGGCAUUAUAAUCAAUACAUUUACUGAGUUGGAGCCUUUCUUAGUGGGUUCCUUCUCCGACGGCCAAGCUCCUCCAGUGUACACGGUCGGACCAGUGCUUGACCUCGAGGGUCAGGCCCAUUCUAGUGCAGACCGGGCUGACCAUGAUAAGGUCAUGUCCUGGCUUGACACUCAGCCGGAAUCCUCUGUGGUGUUCCUAUGCUUUGGGAGUCUGGGCACCUUCGAUGUACCCCAGGUGAGAGAGAUCGCGCUUGGACUUGAGCGCAGCGGCCACAGGUUCCUGUGGUCUUUACGUCGGCCACCGCCAGAUGGGAAGUUCGGUAGCCCAAGUGAAGGCACGAAUCUGGAUGAGAUGUUGCCAGAAGGGUUCAUGGAGCGGAUCGGAGGAAAAGGAAUGAUCUGCGGUUGGGCACCACAAGUGAAAGUUCUGGCCCACGAAGCCAUUGCUGGGUUUGUAUCCCACUGCGGGUGGAACUCAAUCUUAGAAAGUGUGUGGAACAGUGUGCCAAUAGUCACAUGGCCACUUUACGCAGAACAAAAGUUGAAUGCAUUUGAGAUGGUGAAAGAAUUAGGAUUGGCAGUGGAGAUGAGAUUAGACUCCAGGUACGACGGAGAUGUUGUGAUGGCGGAGGAGAUAGAUGGAGCCGUAAGACGUGUGAUGGAGGCUGAUAGCACAGUUAGAAAGAUGGUGAAAGAGAUGGGAGAGAUGAGUAGGAGGGCUCUGAUGGAGGGUGGAUCUUCAUACAAUUCGUUUGAACGGUUGAUCCAUGCGAUGAUAAAUACCCGGUAAAUAGUACUGUUCCAAAUAUUUUUAAAAAUUAAUUUUAUCUAGGUGUUUUAUUUUCAAUUAUUUUUUAUAUUUAAUCUAUUAUUUUUAAAAUAGCCAAAUUCUAAAUUCAAAACAAAUAAGCACCAACUUAACUCAACUUUUAUGUUACAACUACAAACAAACCAAUUAUAAAUCACCUUAUACUAAAAACUCAAUGGUAAUUUUAAAAAGUGUUUUUACAUUUUUUAACAUUUAAAAUUUUUUAUCAUUUAAGUAUUAAAAUAAUUAAAAGCAUUUUUUAAAAUCACUGUCAAAUUGUAUUCUAAUAAUGCGUUUAACAAUGAUUAUAAGAAGUGUUUAUAAUAUUUUUAAUACUUGAAAAAUGAAAAUUUUUAAGUAUUAUAAAGGUUAGAAACACUUUCUAAAAUUACCAUUAAAUAUAUUCUAAAUCUAGCAAAAAUAAUUAUUUAAACAAAAAUAUUCAAAUAUUUCUUCAUAUUGCAUACAUGUUUUACACAAUUUAGGUAAUAAGUCAUUUCACUUUAAAUAACUAUCAAAUAAGGCACUUGGUUAAAUUAUUGAAAAAUACUACGGUUUUAUAGCGGUAUUUAAUAAAUAAAAUAUCUUAACAAUUGAAUAUAUAUACGUAUGAUAAAAUCUAAACUGUUGAAUAAAGAUAUAACUCAUCAAAAUAUUAAGAUACAAAUAAAUCAUAUAGGGAUGUAAAAAAUAUGACCUAAAAAUAUAUACUUCACACCAUAUGAUUGAUUUUGUUAUGUACAAAAAAUGUCCUUUAAUAUUUUAGCCAAGCCCUCAAUUAUAACAAUAAUUAAUUUAAAUAAUCUACUUCCCCGUUCUGGCCGCCUAUGCAAUGAAGUCCAGGGCCCAGACACCUUUAGCGUCACAUCAUUCUUUAGAUAUUUUAGGUUGCGGGUCCUCUUCCAUACACUUCUGGGACCGUGAUAUUGAUACCUAGAAUUUUAGGGCUUUGACAAUUUGCUUUCUAAAUAAAAUAUCUCUGAAGUUGAUAUAGAAUUUUCUUUCCUCUUUAUGACAAGGGAUUGUGCCAUCUUGAAUGUGUGGAAGUAUGAUCAUGUGGAGGUAUGCCAUCUUGAAUGACGCUGCAUUGUCAUGUUGUGAAUUAUCAAAUAGAUCUUCACAAAAAUCGGGGUGGAGAAAAUUAUUAUAAGAAAAAUCCAAUUUUUUUAUAAUUAAAAAAGUUAUUGAUUCAUGAUUUAAUAGUCGGACUUAUGAUUAAAUUAAUAACGUUAUAAAUAUAUAAUUUAUAUAUCAUUAAAAUUAAAAAUAAUUAUAAAAAAUUUAAAAAAACAUAUAAACAAUUAAAAUUCUAAACAUAUUUCAUCAUUUUAUCAUCAUAAAAAUUAAUAGCUUAUAUUAUGAUAAAAUUAACACAAUAAUUUACUAACUUAUUAGUCAAUUUGAUUUCAUUAAAUAUGUACUUUUAAUGAUUAAGAUAAAAUAAAAUUUUAUUAUUUAAAUUUGUUUGGAUUUCAAUAUUUAAAUAAUUAUUUUCUUCAAAACUAUUAGUUUAUUUAUUUAUUUAUAUAAUUUUGAUAUUUAUUAUAGAUAAAAUAUAAAUAUUUAAUUCAUUUUAAAUUUUACAAAUACAUAUUAGAAGGAGGAAAACCCCACCCCCAAAUCUUAACCUUAAGUUUGUAGUUGUUACACCCCAAAACACACUCCAAGGUCAUGAUAAUUAUUUCACACCUCAAGCCCAAAUGCUCAAAGUGGAAAUGACACAAAUAUUCAUAUUGUAAUUGGAAAUUUACCAAUUACCAAAUUCCUAUUUAGAGUAGUAUGACAAAAUUCUAAAAUUUUCAAGUAUCAACUUUAAAAAAAAAACCUAAUACAUCAACCAAUGUGUUAUUGUCCAAAUAACUCUCAAUUCAAAUAAUUUAAACAGGAAUUAAAAUUUAAUAUCUAAACAAUGUCACAAAUAAAGUUUGAACCAAAAUCCUAAUAAAGAAAAAAUUUCCCAAUUUAGUCAUUACUCCUUGCCCGAACUGAAAGUACCUGAAGAAUUAUCAACGAAGGGGCAUGAGCUUAAAGCUCAAUAAGGAACAUCAAUGCAGUUUCAUGGAUCAAACAUUUUCAAUCAUACUUACAAAUAGGAGAUAUAACAUAUACUUAUUUUUAUAAAAACUUUCGAGUUCAAAAUAUUAAUACAUUCAAACUUUUCAACAAAACUUUCUCAUAUCCAUUUCAAAACAAUUUUUUAUUAAAACCAAAUCGAAUACAUUCAAAAUAUUUUUACUUUGGUUAUCAAAUAACAAAUGGUGUCCGGUUAAGUGAGAUUUUACAAAUGAGGGGUUAGUUUCAAAUUUGUUUCAUUUAAGGUGAACAAAACCAAAUGUCAACAAUUAUAACCCGUUGACUAGGGCCGUAAGGUCAACUAUUAUAACCCGUUAACUAGGAUCAUAAGGUCAACUAUUAUAACCCGCUGAUUAGGGCCGAAAAUGUCAACAAUUAUAACCCGUUGACUAGGGUUAUAUAAUCUAGAGUCAAACAUUUUAUUUCAUUAAUUCAAACUUACAAAACAAAAUAACAUAUCUCCUUAAUUUUUCACUUUUCAUAUAUAAAUAAAGAAAAUUCUCAAAAAAAAUAUUUUUAAUACAAAACACAUAUUUGAUUCAUACGAAAAGAUAAAAGUAAUAUUUUUACACUUUACACAUUUCAAAAUACAAUAUAAAAAGAAAAUUAUUUUCUUCUAUAAAAAUCUGCAUUAAUUUCCCUUACCUUGAAGAAGCAUUCAAAAUCUUGAAGUAUUUAACUCUGAAAAAUUUUCUCCUCACCUAACAUAAUAUCAUACACAAUAUUAAUUAUUGAUUAUUUAUCCAAAUAUAUAAAUUUGAAAAUCCUAAAAAUGUUUUAUUUAGUAUUAGGGAUCCUAAUUAAUUUCUCAUGUUAAUAUUAUUAUUAUCCACUAUUAUUUUUUAACUUACUAAACAAUAAUAAAUUAAUUUAGUGAGUUUCUAAAUUAUUGUAAAAUUCAUUUUCUUUUCUAAUCUUACCCUCACUAUUUAUUUCUUUACAUAAUUAAAUUAAAUUAAAACUUAUAUAGGAAACUAUUAUUAUUAUUAAUAUUUCAUAUGUUAACUUAAAACUAAAUAUUAUAAUUUUUAUUAAUUUUCAAAUUCAAUACAUAACCAACCCAUUAUCCUCCUAUCUUCAUUGCACGCACAAAACCCUAAGAAUAAAAUUGUAAGCCUCAUGUUUCUUCUUAUUAUUUAUUAUUAUAAAAAAUAUAUUUACAUAUACAAUCUUUUCCAAUGCCUAAGUCAACACCUUGGCAACACACGCUUGCUCCAAUUUUUUUUUUUUCCAAAUCUAAAGUCCACACAAAUGAUAUAUUUAUUUAUUUUCUAAAUCUAAAAUUUCUUUUCUUCCAUUGAUUUUUCAUUGAUUUUGUUUGCUGUUUGAUUGAAUUUUUCUAAAUCUUCCUAUUUUCAUCACAAAUUAAUCAACAUUCAUAAAUUUACAGUCUUUUGAUCUAAAAAUUAAUUUAAUAAAUCCCAAUCUAGAUUGAGAUAUUCCAAAAAAAUAUCUAAAGUUUUUAAAACUAAGUAAUGAAUAUAAAAUAUUAAUUUAAGGAUUAAAAUCUUAUCUAAAAAAUUGAUCUUUAAACCCUAAACCUCAAAAUUCUGAGUUCUUUGAUCUUAUGAUCUUUGUGUAAAAGAGUUUUCUAAAUAAAGAAGAUAUGAAAAAUCUAAUUUAUAUCUAGGGAUUUCAAAUAUGAAAAUACAUUUUUACCCUUAUUAAAUUACUUUAACUAAUUAUUAAUUUCUAAAUUAUGAUUUUAUCCCUAAAUUGGGUUUGGGGCAUUACAAUAAUUGUAAAUAUUGAUCGAUAUUUUGCCAAUGACUCGAUGCUUUCACUCCUUAGUCAAUAUUAAAGGAUGAAACAAUUGAAUAUUAAUUUAUUUCCCAACCUUUUCUUUUUAAUAUUAUUGUAUCCUUCAUAAGUUUCUUAACUUUCCAAUUUUAAAUUAUUUUUUAAAAUUAAUAAAUUUUAUAUAUCAAAUAUGUUUUGAUUUAAAUUUAUUUAUCUAAUGAAAAGAUUUAGAAAAGUUUAAAAAACAUUAAAAAAAUGGAUUUUUAGAGAGAUCAUAUUUGAGAUUUUUUAAAAUUGAUUGAUAAAAAGAAUAAAAGAAUAAAUAUAUCCCAUUUUACUUUAUCUAUUUUUUUUAUAAUUUUUGUUAAAAUUAUAAUUUUAUUCCUUCAUAGUUUUCUUCAAGGUUUGAAAUAUUGAUAAAUAUGAAUAUAUUGGUAUUUGGAUUUUACGGAUAUAUGGAGAAUAUCUAAGAAAUAUCAAUAAAACAAAAAUUAUUCAAAAUUCAUGAAAAUAUUUGAAAAAACUAGAAAAAAUGAUAAAUAAAUAAAAAUACAUAUGUUAAAGUUAUUUUUUUAAUUGUAAUUGAUAUAUGUAUGGUUAAAGAAAAAAAUAUUGAUAAGUAAGAAUAUGCUAAUAUUAAUAAUUUAUUAUUUAUCUAAUCAAAUUAAUUUUAAUUUAUAAAAUAUUACAACUUAAUUAUUUUUUUUAUAUUUUAUUAUUAUUUUUAAUAAAUUCAUAUUUUUAAUAAUUUAAAACAAAAAAAAUCAAAAUUAAAUAAAUUUAAAAUGAUAAACAAAAAAAUUUUAAAAGUGAAAUGAUAUUAAUUUUUUUAAAAUAUGAUUAAUGAGAUAAAUGAUGAUGUAUUUAACAUUUAAACUAUAAUUUAUUUAAUUCAAAUGUAUUCUAAUGUAAAAUAAGUGAUGAUGCAUAUAUGAUUUUUUUAAUAUUUUAUUAUUAUAUAAAUAAUAUUGAAAAAUAUUUAUUAAAAAAAUUAUAAUGAUGAUUUUUAUACCUUUAUUAAUUAAUUAAAUAAAAUUUAAAAUAAAAUAAUUAAUUUUUUUUCAAUACUGAAAUUUAACAUAUUUAUUAUUAUCGGAUAUUAAAAUAUGAGAACUUGGUCUACAACCAAGCUUGAGCACAGGCCUUUUGGCCUGGUUCGAAUCCCCUUCGCAGCCCCUUCAAAUUUGAAGCGCGUGGGUAGCUGGGCCGCGUCCCUUUCGCCACUACUUUAAUUUAAAGCUGCCACUUUAAAUUUGAAGCGUAGGUAGCUGGGCAGCGUUGACCGCAGGAGAGUCCGAUAUAUCGGAUUUCCGGCAAAAAAUUGGCGCACCUAUUUUUCCAUUUUUCGUCGAUAUUUCGGUGAAACAUCCCAAUUUUUCAAACACGUUUUCUUUGAUUUUUAAAAAUAAGUGAAAAUAAUUUUAAUUUAUUCUUGGAAAAAUUAUUUUAAAAAACAACCGUAUGAAUAGUGCAUAAAAUUUUAAAUUAUUUAUUUUAUUAGAAAAAGAAUUUUGGAAAACCUGAGAUGGUAUGGGAUAAUAUCAGCGAUGCAAUAUGGAGCUAUCAACACCAUUAGGGCCAGCAGAUAAUAAAGGUGGGACCAUCGAUCAUUUCCCCUAGCAGGAAAAAUAUCAGCAAGAUAAGAGGUAGGUGAAAGGGAUUGUGGUAGGUGGAGGUUAAAUAUUCUUGAUCUGGGGGUAGGAAGAAGAAAAAUUAAAGAGCAGACAACGGAGAUGAAGAAAGCAGAGCUGGUGUUCGUCCCAACUCCCGCUGCUGGUCACUGCAUAUCCGCCAUAGAAUUCGCAAAGCGCUUAAUCCACACGGACGAUCGCUUUUCUGCUACCAUCCUUCAAAUGCGUUCAUUACUCAAUCCUCAUUCAGAUAUAUACAACAAAUCUCUUCUUGCCUCUGAAACCCGUCUCCAUUUAAUUGACCUCCCUCCUAUUGAUAACCCUCCACCCCAUGAUCUCUUCCUCAAAUCCGCAGAACACUACAUACUGCUUUUCAUUGAAAGCUACAUCCCUCACGUCAAAGACGCCAUCACCCACCUCAUGUCAUCUCGCUCUUCCCCAGACUCAGUCCCACUCGCCGGGUUAGUCCUUGAUUUCUUCUGUCUUCCCAUGAUUGAUGUGGCCAACCAACUAGGCCUCCCUUCGUACCUAUACUUCACCUCUGGUGCUGGUUUUCUUGGCCUCAUGCUCUCCCUCCCAACUCGCCAUAGCCAAAUCGGCACUGAGUUUGAAGACUCGGAUCCUGAUCUGGAGCUCCGGAGUUUCGUCAACCCAGUUCCUGUUCGCGUUUUGCCUGAAGCCGUGAGUGACAAGCAUGGUGGUUACGCUGCUUACAUAAAGAUUGCUCAGAGGUUCAGAGAGGCUAGGGGCAUUAUAGUAAAUACGUUUUCUGAGUUGGAGCCUUACGCCGUUGAGUCGUUCGCCGAUGGUCAGACCCCCCCGGUGUACACGGUGGGACCGGUUCUUGACCUCGGGGGUCAGGCUCAUGCCGGUUCAGACCGGGUUGACCGCAGUAAGAUCAUGGGGUGGUUAGACGCUCAGCCAAAAUUGUCUGUGGUGUUCCUCUGCUUUGGAAGCAUAGGGGCCUUCGACGCGCCCCAGGUGAGGGAGAUCGCGCUUGGGCUCGAGCGCAGCGGCCACAGGUUCCUCUGGGCCCUGCGUCUGCCGGGGCCGGAUGGCAAACUCGGUGGAAGCUCUGAUGGCUCGGAACUCAGCGAGAUCUUGCCUGAGGGGUUCCUGGAUCGAAUCGGAGAGAGGGGAAUGAUCUGCGGUUGGGCACCGCAAAUGGAAGUCCUGGCCCACAAAGCUAUAGGAGGGUUCGUAUCCCACUGCGGGUGGAACUCCAUCUUAGAGAGCAUAUGGAACAGUGUACCGAUGGCGACCUGGCCCAUGUAUGCAGAACAACAGCUGAAUGCCUUUGGACUGGUGAAGGAACUGGGAUUAGCAGUGGAAUUGAGACUGGACUAUCGACAGAGUGGGGGAGAAGUGGUAGUGGCGGAAGAGAUAGAUGGUGCAAUAAGAUGUGUGAUGGAGCAUGAUAGCAUGGUGAGGAAGAAGGUGAAGGAAAUGGGAGAGAUGAGCAGGAGGGCUGUGAUGGACGGUGGAUCUUCCUCCAAUUCCCUUGGACGGCUGAUAGCUGAUAUCAUCCCCAUUGACUAGUGUAUCGCUUAAUCUGAUCGUGUGGUUUUUCUCCUUACCUUGAGAAUUCACUGUUAAAUGGUUGAGUUGACUGGGGGUUGGGCAUUGCGAGCCAUGUACGAAUGUGGUCCACCGUCCACCAUACGGUCCAUACCACAGUUAUAUAUUAGAUAUUAUGAGGAUGAACUGUCAAGUCAUCAUUUUAUCUUAUCAAUUCUGAUUUAAGGAGUUCCAACUUCCAAGUGGGUAUGACUCCCAAGUAUAUUGGACUUGAUAAAAAUAUAAAUUGGGGUGGAUAGAACAAAAGAUUGCGUCGUGCAUGCUGAAAUCACGAAAUUGAUAUAAAUAUUUGUAUUUCUUUGCCGAUAUUAUCAAGACUAGAAGGUUAUUUAGACUUUGUUUUGCUCUAUAUUUAAAAUUCAAUACGACAUAUUCAUAGUCCAUUCCUGGUUUUGAUAUUGAUACCUCGACGAGAACAAGCAGCUAUCAUAAUACUUUUAUCUUUGAUUGUAGUUAAUUACAAGGCUAUAUUGGCAUAUGUCAUCCAAAAAUCUUAAUCACAUACUCUGUGUGCAUAUGCAUCUUCGUUGGUUAUUUGAUCCGCUUAAAAAUGUGUUAAGAUUUUAUUUUUUCAAAUAUUGUAGCGUAUGUGUUGGGAAUUUCGUUUUCUUCGGUUGACGAAACAGCAUUGCAUUGCCCUGUUUUGAAUAACAAAGAUAAUGUCCACCAAAAACAGGAGCAGAGAAAAUUAGUAGAAGGAAAAAACGGUGGUCGGAACAAGGAUUUUUUAUAAGAUUAUGGUAGUUUUAAAAAAUAAAUUUUAAAUUAUCGUUAUAUGAAAAAUAAUUCUAAAUCUAUCGUAAUUUUGUCAAAAUAGGAAAUAGAAAAUAAUUUGUAAAUGAAAAAACAUUUCUUCAAAAAACGAUUUAUGUAUCUUGAAAAGACGAUUUUCACUAAAAAAAAUUAAAAAGUGAGAAAUCGUCUUUUUAAAAGACGAUUUCAAAAAAAAAAAAUCAAGUGAGAAAUCUUCUCUUAAAGAGACGAUUUCCAUAAAAAAAAAUUGUGUAUGUGAGAAAUUCUCACUUAAAAGAAAAAAAAAAUCAAAUGAGAAAUCGUUUCUUGAAGAGAUGAUUUUCACACAAAAGUGAGAAAUUUUCACUUAAAAUAAUAAUAAUAAUAAUAAUAAUAAAUAAAAAAAGUCCAAGUGGAAAAUCGUCUCUUCAAGAGACGAUUUCCAUAUCACUUUUAAAAGUUAGAAAUUCUCACUUAAAAUAAAAAUAAAAACCCCUUCAAAAAUCCAUUUUUUCAUUCUUUAUUCUAUUUAUACCAUAAUACAAUUAUUAUAAAUAUAUAUUAUAAAAUUAAUUAAUUUUAUUUACUAAAUUGAAUAUAAGAUAAAUAAUCUAUUAUUUUUUUUCUUACUUUGAAAUUUAAAAAAAAGACUAUUAUCAAUUUAUGUGAAAAAUAAGUUUUAAAAACAAUUGUUAUUAAUUUAUUAAAUAAUUAUUUAGUAUAUUAUUUUAAAAAAACCAAAGGGGAAAUCAUCUCUUGAGACAAUUUCCACAUCAUCUUUAAAAAUGAGAAAUUCUCAGUUUUUUUUUUUAAAAAUCCUUCAAAAAUCCUUUUUUUCAUUCUUUAUUCUAUUUAUAUAAUAAUACAAUUAUUAUUUACUCUUAUAAAAAAUCCGAUGGAACAAGAGGAUGCAUGGCAAUUCCAAACCCCUGUCUAGUCUCUCUUCCACGUUCCCACUCCCUCCCAACCCCAAACCCUAACUCCAUAACCCUUAAUAACGACCGAUAUUUCGCCAACCACCCGACACUUUCACUCAUCGACCAAUGCUCCGAAACGAAACAAUUGAAGCAAAUCCAUGCCCAGAUGCUCCCUACUGGUCCCUUCUUCGACCCCUUCUCCACCAGUAGACUCAUCACCGCCGCCGUUCUUUCCCCCUUCCCCAGCCUCGAUUAUGCCCAGCAAGUGUUCGACCAAAUUCCCCACCGAAAUCUCUACACUUGGAACACUCUCAUUCGCGCUUAUGCUUCCAGUUCUAAUCCCCAUCAGAGCCUCUUAAUCUUCAUACGAAUGCUUCAUUAAUCUCCUGAUUUUUCUGACAAAUUCACUUUACCUUUUCUGAUCAAAGUCGCGUCGGAACUUGAGGAGUUGUUUACAGGGAAGGCUUUUCAUGGAAUGGUGAUUAAGGUGUUGUUGGGUUCGGACGUCUUCAUUCUUAAUUCUCCGAUUCAUUUUUACGCCAAGUGUGGAGAGUUGGGUUUGGGGUAUAGGGUUUUUGUGAAUAUGCCUAGGAGGAAUGUUGUUUCUUGGAAUUCGAUGAUUACAACUUUUGUGCAGGGGGUUGUCCGGAGGAGGCAUUGGAGUUGUUUCGGGAAAUGGAGAGGCAGAAUGUGAAACCUAAUGGCAUAACAAUGGUGGGGGUUUUGGCAGCUUGUUCCAAGAAGUCGGAUUUUGAGUUUGGGAGGUGGGUGCAUUCGUAUAUUGAGAGGAACAGGAUUGGUGGGAGCUUGACUUUGAUUAAUGCUAUGCUUGAUAUGUAUACAAAGUGUGGGAGUGUUGAGGAUGCAAAAAGAUUGUUUGAUAAGAUGUCACAGAAGGAUAUUGUCUCAUGGACGACUAUGCUUAUUGGGUAUGCUAAAAUAGGGGAGUAUGAUGCGGCUCAGGGUAUUUUUGAUGCAAUGCCUAAUCAAGAUACCGCUGCAUGGAAUGCUCUCAUAAUUGCUUAUGAACAGUGUGGUAAGCCAAAUGAGGCUUUGUAGCUUUUCCAUGAAUUGCAGCUGAGCAAAACUGCAAAGCCUGAUGAGGUCACUCUUGUUAACACACUUUCGGCUUGUGCUCAGCUGGGAGCAAUGGAUUUAGGUGGAUGGAUCCAUGUGUACAUAAGGAAGCAUGGAAUGAAGUUAAACUGCCAUCUCAUUACCUCACUUAUUGACAUGUACUGUAAGUGCGGGGAUCUGUAGAAGACACUUGUGGUAUUUCAUUAAGUGGAAAUGAAAGAUGUGUUUGUUUGGAGUGCCAUGAUUGCAGGUUUGGUAAUGCAUGGGCAUGGGAAGGAUGCAAUAGAUUUGUUUUCAAAAAUGCAAGAGGCUUAGGUCAAGCCCAAUGCUGUGACUUUUACUAAUAUACUAUGUGCUUGUAGCCACGCGGGAUUAGUGGAGGAAGGCAGGACUUUCUUCAAUCAAAUGGAGCUGGUUUAUGGGGUUUUGCCUGGAGUCGAGCAUUAUGCUUGUAUGAUUGAUAUUCUUGGUCAAGCAAACCUGUUGGAAGAAGCUGUGGAAUUGACAGAGAAAAUGCCAAUGGCCCCAACUGCUUCUAUAUAGGGGGCCCUGCUUGGAGCCUGUAUUCAUCCUGAUUCCACAACAGCACAUCUACGAGUUUAGCGUUCAUCGUAUCUUCCCAAUCCAGAGCCAUACCAAAUUGUGUAGAAACCCAUCCAUCCCUAGUUAGCUCUACUCAUCUCGGGCUCCUUUAGAAUGCUUCUUCUACUCAUUUCUCGGAAUUGAAGCCUCUAUAUAGAACCCAUUCAUGUCCUGAGUAGCAACAACCAGUAGUUGCAUCUUUAUCAGGUCUCAUUGUCGUCUUUCUCAUUUCUGUGUUCGCAUGGCUUGUGUGGGGGGUAUCCCUCCACAUGUCAUUCUCAAACUUAAGACCCCUUAGCUGACCAGGACAAAACACAUAACCCAUUUGGGAUCACCUCGUUUGGACCAAGAUAAAUUCUGUUUAACACCAGAAGUGAGAUGUUUCCUUUCUUCCACAAGCCCAAACAUAAUAGACAGGCUGGGCUCAUUAGACUCUUAGACGGGAAAAUUAAUCCAGUCAAGUCCUCAAGAUUUCUGGCAUGCGUGAUCAACCACGCCUGAUGUUUAAGCACCAGCCCAGACACCUGACAUUUGAGUGGCGGACAGGACUCUAUUUAUACCCAAUAGUCAAUGUCAAUUAAUUGUUACAUAUAAUCCCAUACAUUGGUAGGCUAAAUGGAUAGUUAGCUACAUAGUUCGAGAUUUUGGCAUGUUAGCAGUUGGCACCAAUUAGCCGCCCUUAUCUGAUAUGAUUGGCUAGCGGCCCUAAGGGCAAUCAUCAUUAUAAGAAACGCUAGAGUGCAUAGUCAACACUACAGUAACGGUGUCAUAAGCUCUAUAUAAACCCCUCAAAAAGCAUUAAUAAGGCACACACGCAUAUACGCUCAUUCUCUCACACAAAAUAGUUAGAGUUAUCCUUGUCUGACUUAAGCUUCAAAGGGGUCUGUCUGGACCACCCAUCCGGACAUCCUUUUGUGCAGGGAAGAAGUCUAUCUGAUUCUAGUGCAGUUGGACGAACUCCUCAAAAACCAUGAAGAAGGGAAGAAGUCUGCCUAACUCCAGUGAAGUCUGAUGAACUUGACUCUGGUUGGCUCGACACCAAUAGCAUUCAUGGCCACCCCAAAGCCUAUCCACAACCCUCCACCAAAAUACCUCAUCUAUCAAAUUUGAAUCUCAAGCCACAUAACUCCGCACCUACUCUAUGCCUAAAAAAAAAAAACACCUUAUAGCCAAUUCACCAUUGCCUCGAUCCUUUGUACCCAUCGAAUUGAUCACCACACCACACUCGACUUAUCCUUCAUACCAUACUCACCACCAUCAACCUAACCCACAUUGCCCACCAAGCACUCCUCAUUUUCCACACAACACUGGCUACUGUUUAACAUGACAUUAUUACCGAUUGAGAGACUUCCAGUAAAUCUCCAAUUGAUUUUGGUUUGGACGAAGGCUACUAAUCUAGACCCGAAAACCAUCUUUGUUGAUUGUUCCUUGCGCUUCGGUGGGUCUCUAGAGUUUAGAUGAAGCUGGAAAACUGGUGAAGCAAGGGGUGCUUAAGCCUGAGGAUUUCAUAUUCUUUGUUGGAUAUGUUGGGUGGCAGUUGGAUCAGUUGAGAGAGGAGAUGGGAUCAGACUAUGGGUAUGUGGCUGCAUAUAGCCCAUACGUGAUCGAUGGGGUCUUAACAGAGUCUUCCUCUGGUGUAUGGGAUGAGGUUUUUGUAGUCAAAAGGGAAAUCAUUAUUUUGAACUGAACCCGAUGCCUAAGCAGGAUAUGUAGUCAGUUUUGAGCCUACAGAAUUUAAGAAAUUGCUCGCCAAUCGGGGAGGAUAUUACGUCAACUUGUGAUGAUAGAAGCUUGGAUUCUCAUGUGGCACAAGGAGAGAAGACAAAAUGAAUGAUCAAACUCAAAAGGACAAGCCCUUGUUCCUGCCAACUUAUCUCUAUCUUUGGGACCCAUUCUCUCUCUCUAGCAUGGCAUGCAUGGCCACUCUAAAAGCCUACGCGUCUCACUCCUUAUAUUUUCAUGCAUGCCUUCAAAAACUGAUUUUCAAAAAUCUUGUUUUGAAAUAAUUUUAAUUCUUCAAUUUUUCUUUCUUGAUUUUAAAUAAAUCCAAUUUUAAUAAAUCAAUAGCUACCAUUUUCCACUAGGCAUGCAUUUUUUUUUCCUUGAUUUUUAAUAAUUUUCAAUUUUCAUGUUUUGAAUGAGCAUGAAUAAAAUUCUAUAAUUCAAAAUAAUGGAAUUUAUGAAAUUAAUUCAUGCUAAAAUAAAUCGGGCUUUGGCGGGGCCCAACAUAUGGGAUUUUCUCGUUCGUUGAUUGAUUGCUGUGCUUGAUUGACUUGCUUUGCUUUGUGACAUAUGCGAUUAUUCUGUAUUCGUUUACUAACCUUUGUUUUCCAUGAAGCAAUCAACUCACUACUCAAGUACACACAUUGAUUUUCUUAUUCAUUUGAUUAUUUUUAGAUUGAUAUUAUUUUAAUAUCCAUAUUUAAUCUAUCAAUUACCACACUUGCUUUAACUUAAUUAGUAGAGACCUAAUUCUUAGGACUAAGAGGGGUGUUAUGGCCUAUCACUAUACCUUCCCAAUAGGUAACCUGACUCCUAAACCCAUACUCAGUUUUUCACAGACCUAUUUUUCCUUUAGGAGUCACAUUUAAGGGUUUUCUUUCUUAUUUUGUUUUUCCCUUUUAAAAUAAAACAAAAAUAAGUGGUGACUCCAAAAACUUUUAAAAAAUCAAUUUUAAAAAUAACAAGCAAGUCUCGCCAUAAUGGAAACGCAUGCGUAGAAACGCGGGGUCCCUCCCGGCGCACACUUACAUAUAUAUUAUGUAAUGACCAAAUUAAUUUUGGGGGUAAAAUACCAAAAAAAAGUAAUUAAAUAUUUUUAGUAAGGGUAGAAAGGUCAUUUUAUAAUUAACAAUCCUAGGUAUAAAUUAUAUUUCUUUUUCUUUUUUGUCUUUUCUAUUUAGAAAACUUUACUAACAAAAAAUAAAAAAAUUGUAGAACAUAAGACUGAAGGUUUGAAGGUCGCAUUUUUUCAGGUAAAAUUUUAAUCCCUAAAUUAAUAUAUUAGAUUCGUUAGUUAGUUUUGAACACAUUCAAUAUUCUUUAGAAAUUUUCAAUUUAGACCAAAGCCAAUUUAUUUAAUUUUUCUUUUAAGAUCAAAAUAUUGAAAAAUUAAGAGUAUGGGUUGAUUUAUCGAUGAAAAUUGAGAAAUUUUGAAAGUCAGGAAAUUUUAAGUUUUCAGAUGAAUAAACCUAAAAUAAAAUAAAAUAAUAAUAAUAAUAAUUUGUGACUUAAUGCACGCUAGAAGUGUGUUAAUAUAAUUUAUAUACUUAUAAAGGCUUUGAUGCACUGUACAUUUGGGGGUAAUUUGGAGAAAGAAAAUAAUAAAUAAAUAAAAUAAAAACUAUUUUGCAGGAAAGUGAUUUUAGUGGAAGGCACAACUUUUAUGAAAAUUCGGGAGACUCACUCUUUAAAUUAUUAUUGAUUAGAAAGUCAAAAACAAUAUAGAUGAUAAAAGAAAUAGUCAACAUAGGAUUUUUUUUUAUUUCAAUACUUAAAUAAUUACUUUCAUCAAAAUUAUUAAUUUUUUUAUUUAUAUAAUUUUGAUAUUUAUUACAGAUAAAACAUAAAUAUUUAAUUCAUUUUAAAUUUUGCAAAUAUAUAUACAUACACACGGGGGUUGAAGAGAUGGGCUUGGGCUUAAUGAUUUGGGCUAACAACUAAGUUUUGGAAAAAGGGGGAAAUAAUAGGUUGGACCGAUAGUUGGGCUAAUUCAAUGCUUGUUCAACUCAGUUUUGGGAGGCUCCAAUCGAUGGUCCAAUUGGUUGAACUCAAUUCAAUUCGAUUUUUUAAGUUUGGUAAACACCAAUUGGUGUAUUGGAACGAGGAGGAAAACCUUAGCUCCAUUACACUCAAUAUUCAUCGAUAUUUUGCGAAUCGCUGGAUACUAUCACUCCUCAACCGAUGCUUGGAAAGGAAACAAUUGAAUAUUCUUCCUCGAUCUCCUCUUUUUAAUAUUAGUUGAUCCGUUAUAAGUUUCUUAACUUGGAUUGGAUUUUUAAUUUUUAAUUAUUUUUAAAAAUUAGUAAAUUUUAUGUAUCAAAUAUGCUUUGAUUUAAAUUUAUUUAUCUAAUAAAAAAAUAGAAAAGUUAAAAAAUAAGAAAAAAUUAUUUUAGAGAGAUCAUAAUUGAGUUACUUUAUCUAUUUUUUAUUUAUUUAUAAUUUUUGUUAAAAUUAAUAAAUUAUACCUUGAUAGUUUUCUUUGAUUUUUAAAAUAAGUGAAAUAGGUAAAAAACUUGUUAGUUUCUUGUUGGAGGCUUUUUUUUUUUUUUUUAUUCAUAACUAAAUAAAAUUGUAUUUAUAUUGAAUUUUGGAGGAUAACAAUUUAGUAAUGGGAGAUUAAGUAGUGAUAUUUUAUAUUAUUAAAAUAUAUAAUUUAUAAUAAAUAAAAAUAAUAUAUUAUUUAAUUUCAUAUUCUUUUUUUUUUAUAUCAAUAGUAUUUUAAAAUAUAGAAUAAUAAUUUUUAGUUUUUAAUCAAUCAUUUAAUAAAAAUUAAUUCUUAUGAUAUAAGGAAGCUGAGUAUAUUUUGAAUUCUAAUUUUAUUAUAUUAGAUAACUAAAAACAAAAUAAUUAAUUUCAAUAUAAAUCAAUUAAAAAUUGCAUUUUGAUUUAGUGUAAUUCUCAUAAAUAAAUUAAAAUAGAUUUUUAUUUAAAAUAUUUAUUUACUACAUGAAAGAACUAAGGAUAAAAAAUUUACUAACAAAAAUUCUUAUUUUAUAAAAUGGAUAAAUAUGAAAUAAAAAAGUUAUUAAAUUGUUAAAAUAAAUUUAUUAAAUUUGAAUUUUAUAAAUUAAUUGAAAUUGAUAUUUUAUAAUUUUGAUUUUACUGUAUCAAGGAUUUAAUUCAAAAGAAGUGCUCUGAUUUUUUUUUAAAUGAAAUUUUAUUAUAAAAUUCAUUCAAUAAUAAAAAUAUUAGUUUUAUAAAAAAAAGUUUAAAAUUGAAUACAAAAAAUUAUAAAUAAUUUAUAAUCUAAUUUCAUCUUUUUUUUAAUGUGAGGGUAAAUUUUGAAUAUCUUGAAGACUUUAAUUUUGCCAAUUACUAUAUAUAUAUAUAUUUCGUAACAAUUUAAGAAAUAAUAAAUAUCAUGUGUCUAAUUUGCAAGUUAGAAAAAAAAAAUUUUAUAAGGUGUUUAAUUUUUUUAAUAUAUAUGAAAAAAAAUGUACAACAUGCUUAUUAUUUUGUAAGUGAGAAACACAAAAAAAAAAAUCAAAAUAAUGUAGGUUUGAAAUAAUGAAUAAUAUUUAUUAUACAUUAAGUAAGUUUCUAAGGUUUUUUUUAAAAUUUUUUUAAGGUAUUUAAAAAAAUAUUUAUUAUAUAUUAUGUAUUUUUUGAAAAAAAAUAAUAAUAUUUGAUGAGUGUUUAAAAAAUAUUUACUUUUAAAAUGUAUUUGAUAAUAAUUUUUGCAAUCAUUUAUCUCUAAUAUUUAAUUUGUUAGAGAAAAAUGAUUAGAAAAUCAUUCAAUUUGGUCUUACUACUAAAUAAACAAGAGAAUGGAGAGAUAGAAAAAACGAGAAUAUGGUUUUUUUAUUUAAGGAAAAAGGGUAUUUUAGGGGAUUUUUUUAAUUGAACCAAAGGGAAUUAUGUAAAUAUGAUCAAUUUACAAAAUAUAGAUGAAAGGAGAAGUUAAAAAAAAUAAUUAUCAUUUUAUGCUUGGGAAUGGUGCCCACUUAGCAUUAUUCCAAACUAUCCGUACAUAUGUUUUGGUCUUAAAAUAACACUAUUUUAAUUUUAAAGUAAUAUUACUUUGCUAUGAAAGUAACACUCUUUUAAACUUAAGGUACCUUUGCUAAUUGAAUGAUGUACCAUCACAUAUAAGGGCAUUUUAGGAUAAUAUAAGGUAAGACAUUAAAAUGCACUCUUGGGGUUUUCUUUUCAUCCGGAUUUUGUAAACAAGUCAUGUUUACAUAGUUCCCCAUAGAAAUAUUAUUCACCUUUCUAUUUUAUCAUUAAGUUUUGAAUUCGAAUUUGUGUGAUGGGAGGACAUUGGGCAAUUAUGUGGCCCAAGCACAAUUCUCCAUGUCAAAGUCAAUAAAGGUGGGAACAACCGAUUAGCAGGAAAAAUAUAACGAAGAAGGUCGCUGCACGGAGAGAAGUAAGAAGAAGAGACUAGACAACUGAGAAUUGCAAUGAAGAAAGCAGAGCUGGUGUUUGUCCCAGUAGCAUUCCGCGGUCACCUUGUAUCAACUGUAGAAUUCGCAAAACGCUUAAUCCAAAGGGAUGAUCGCUUUUCAGUCACCAUCCUCUCCAUCAACUCCCCAUUCGGCCCCGACGCGCAUGGAUACAACAAAUCACACCUUGCUUUUGAACCCGGUCUCCGUUU